UUUUUUGUUUUCAAUGUAAACUAUUCUGACAUGUAUAAGGUGAUAUGUCAUUGUAGUUCCGAUUUGCCUUUCCCUGA